CCUUAUCAUCCGCAAACCAAUGGCUUGGUGAAGCGGAUGAAUGGGACUAUCCAAAGAACUCUAAGCAAAUUAGUGGGUGAGAGACCAGAUACGUGGGACGUAUAUCUGGAUGCAAUUAUGUUUGGAUUGUGCACAAAAAAACAAACCACAACUAAAUUUUCACCGUACUUCCUCAUGUUUGGAGGCCCGCUACCCUUCUGAGGUGCCAGAACAAUACCAGGUCAUCAAUGGUUAUUUAACAGUUUUGGUGAGAAAGUACAACAGCAGAAAUGCAGGCUGUGCCACUUUGAUUGACAGCUAUACAAUGAGUAACAUCUGGAUGGGUAAAGGAUCACGGCU